rnacentral:rRNA from 1 species
CGCUGGCGGCGUGCCUAAUACAUGCAAGUAGAACGCUGAGGAUUGGUGCUUGCACUAAUCCAAAGAGUUGCGAACGGGUGAGUAACGCGUAGGUAACCUACCUCAUAGCGGGGGAUAACUAUUGGAAACGAUAGCUAAUACCGCAUGACACUAGAGUACACAUGUACUCAAGUUAAAAGGAGCAAUUGCUUCACUAUGAGAUGGACCUGCGUUGUAUUAGCUAGUUGGUGAGGUAACGGCUCACCAAGGCGACGAUACAUAGCCGACCUGAGAGGGUGAUCGGCCACACUGGGACUGAGACACGGCCCAGACUCCUACGGGAGGCAGCAGUAGGGAAUCUUCGGCAAUGGACGGAAGUCUGACCGAGCAACGCCGCGUGAGUGAAGAAGGUUUUCGGAUCGUAAAGCUCUGUUGUUAGAGAAGAACGGUAAUGGGAGUGGAAAAUCCAUUACGUGACGGUAACUAACCAGAAAAG